GACGGAAGGAGCAAGCGUUGCUCGGAAUCAUUGGGCGUAAAGGGUGCGUAGGCGGCGCGGUAAGUCGGGUGUGAAAUCUCGGAGCUUAACUCCGAAACUGCAUUCGAUACUGCCGUGCUUGAGGACUGGAGAGGAGACUGGAAUUUACGGUGUAGCGGUGAAAUGCGUAGAUAUCGUAAGGAAGACCAGUGGCGAAGGCGGGUCUCUGGACAGUUCCUGACGCUGAGGCACGAAGGUCAGGGGAGCAAACGGG
rnacentral:rRNA from 1 species